rnacentral:tRNA from 1 species
CAAAAAAUAGUUUAAGUUAAAAUAAUAAUCUUGGGGAUUAUAGAUAUUUAUAAUAUAUAAAUUUUUUUGA